GUAGCUUGCUACACCGAUUGAAAAUUGAGUGGCGAACGGGUGAGUAACACGUGGGUAACCUGCCCAAAAGAGGGGGAUAACACUUGGAAACAGGUGCUAAUACCGCAUAACCAUGAUGACCGCAUGGUCAUUAUGUAAAAGAUGGUUUCGGCUAUCACUUUUGGAUGGACCCGCGGCGUAUUAACUUGUUGGUGGGGUAACGGCCUACCAAGGUAAUGAUACGUAGCCGAACUGAGAGGUUGAUCGGCCACAUUGGGACUGAGACACGGCCCAAACUCCUACGGGAGGCAGCAGUAGGGAAUCUUCCACAAUGGGCGCAAGCCUGAUGGAGCAACGCCGCGUGAGUGAAGAAGGUCUUCGGAUCGUAAAACUCUGUUGUUAGAGAAGAACAUGCAAGAGAGUAACUGUUCUUGUAUUGACGGUAUCUAACCAGAAAGCCACGGCUAACUACGUGCCAGCAGCCGCGGUAAUACGUAGGUGGCAAGCGUUGUCCGGAUUUAUUGGGCGUAAAGGGAACGCAGGCGGUCCUUUAAGUCUGAUGUGAAAGCCUUCGGCUUAACCGAAGAAUUGCAUUGGAAACUGGAGGACUUGAGUGCAGAAGAGGAGAGUGGAACUCCAUGUGUAGCGGUGAAAUGCGUAGAUAUAUGGAAGAACACCAGUGGCGAAAGCGGCUCUCUGGUCUGUAACUGACGCUGAGGUUCGAAAGUGUGGGUAGCAAACAGGAUUAGAUACCCUGGUAGUCCACACCGUAAACGAUGAAUGCUAAGUGUUGGAGGGUUUCCGCCCUUCAGUGCUGCAGCUAACGCAAUAAGCAUUCCGCCUGGGGAGUACGACCGCAAGGUUGAAACUCAAAGGAAUUGACGGGGGCCCG
rnacentral:rRNA from 1 species